rnacentral:rRNA from 1 species
UACGGAGGGGACUAGCGUUGUUCGGAAUUACUGGGCGUAAAGCGCACGUAGGCGGAUUUGUAAGUCAGGGGUGAAAUCCCGGGGCUCAACCUCGGAACUGCCUUUGAUACUGCAAAUCUCGAGUCCGGAAGAGGUGAGUGGAAUUCCUAGUGUAGAGGUGAAAUUCGUAGAUAUUAGGAAGAACACCAGUGGCGAAGGCGGCUCACUGGUCCGGUACUGACGCUGAGGCGCGAAAGCGUGGGGAGCGAACAGG